GUGCUCGCUUUGGCAGCACAUAUACCCCAAAUUGGAACAAUACAGAGACGAUUAGUACGGCCCCUGCACAACGAUGACACACAAAUUCCUGAAGCAUUCCAUAUUUUU